rnacentral:rRNA from 1 species
GAGACCGGCGCACGGGUGCGUAACGCGUAUGCAAUCUACCUUGUACAGAGGGAUAGCCCCAGAGAAAUUUGGAUUAAUACCUCAUAGUAUUAUUGAAUGGCAUCAUUUAAUAAUUAAAGUUCCAACGGUACAAGAUGAGCAUGCGUCCUAUUAGCUAGUUGGUGUGGUAACGGCAUACCAAGGCUACGAUAGGUAGGGGUCCUGAGAGGGAGAUCCCCCACACUGGUACUGAGACACGGACCAGACUCCUACGGGAGGCAGCAGUGAGGAAUAUUGGACAAUGGGCGCAAGCCUGAUCCAGCCAUGCCGCGUGCAGGAAGACGCAUCUAUGGUGUGUAAACUGCUUUUGUACGGGAAGAAACACUCCCUCGUGAGGGAGCUUGACGGUACCGUAAGAAUAAGGAUCGGCUAACUCCGUGCCAGCAGCCGCGGUAAUACGGAGGAUCCAAGCGUUAUCCGGAAUCAUUGGGUUUAAAGGGUCCGUAGGCGGUUUAAUAAGUCAGUGGUGAAAGCCCAUCGCUCAACGAUGGAACGGCCAUUGAUACUGUUAGACUUGAAUUACAAGGAAGUAACUAGAAUAUGUAGUGUAGCGGUGAAAUGCUUCAUCUUACAUGGAUACCAAUUGCGAAGGCAGGUUACUACUUGUGGAUUGACGCUGAUGGACGA